GUCUACGGCCAUACCACCCUGAACGUGCCCGAUCUCGUCUGAUCUCGGAAGCUAAGCAGGGUCGGGCCUGGUUAGUACUUGGAUGGGAAGAAAGCCAAGGAGGGGCGCCUGGGUGGCUCAGUGGGUU
ensembl:rRNA 5S_rRNA 5S ribosomal RNA